AUCAAACCUGCGUCCCAGCACUUGCAAGAUGCCACGCACGCCACAGCAGGAACUCCCUUUCCUGCUUUUUGGUACAGUAUUUUAACUUCGGUUCUUCAGUGUGCGGCUCGAUGUCUGCCAGCUCUUCCUCCCGAGCGGGGGAGCUCUUCUGGUUCCUUCCCUGAGCGUCACCACAGGCGGGGCCCGCCUCGUCCGUCCUGGCCAGCUCGCUGCCUGGGGACGCAGAGGCCCGGCCCCGCUUCUGCGCCCAUGCUGGCCUCUGGCACGGAAAUCAUGAGGCACAGCUCCCUCGCCCAAGAAGCCUACUGUGAGUGGAGCCUGGCAAAGGCAGUUGCUAAGGCCCGUGGCUGCUCUUCCCAAACUGCUGAGAGGGCAGAUAAGUGGCAGCACCUGCCCCUGGCAUGGCCCUCACUGUUUUCCUCUAAAACGUCAGCCCCAUGAGGCCAGUGGCCUAUGUCUCUCGGUCGCUCUUGUAUCACCAGUGCCCAGAGCAGGGCCUAGGACAGAGCAAAACUUUCAAUCAAUAUUUAAGUGAAUGCCUCUGGAAAUGGGCCCCAGGAAUUAACAAUCACGUGGGACGUGGCAUGGUGACAGCGGAAUGUCACUGCUGUAACCGAGCGAGUGCCCCGUGGGGCUCCUGGGCACACAGACCUUUCUGUGUCCCCCAUUGCUUCUUUUUAGGGAGUAAGCCUUGGCCUCCAGGACCUCCCCUGAGCUCCAAGGGGCAGGUUCAAACAGUUGCUAACAGGGGGAAGGGAGGGGAUGCAGAGGCCCGAGAGGAGCCGUCAAGAAAUGACAGCGGUGGUCUGGGGGCAGGUCCUGGCCCCUCCUCCAGGAACACAGACAACGAUAUCUCUGAGUUCUUCCACAGAAGGACACCGCCCAACACAUGGACGGUGUGCAGGAAGCCGCCUUCAUUCCGGAAAGACCACCACCAGACCGCCAGACACCAGCUUGGAAGACAACGCCAGCUCACCAAUCCCCGAUCCUUAUCUGCAGCCCCGUUCUUCUCCCCCAGUCUCUCCUGAGGGGGCAUGGUCUUUGAGGCAUGAGCCUGCUGUAACUCUCCUUUGCCUGGUAAAGCAAUAAAGCUGUUUUUUCUCCUUCGCCCCAAA